AUGAGCAGCCAUCUCUCGUCGUCGGCGGCGGCGCCGCUGGAGGACGAAAACCUAUUCCCCGAGAUCCUACUCCGCCUCCCGCCGCAGCCCUCCUCCCUCCCCCGCGCCUCGCUCGUCUGCAAGCGCUGGUGCCGCCUCGCCUCCAACCCCAGCUUCCUCCGCCACUUCCGCAUCCACCACCGCCGCAGCCCUCCCCUCCUCGGCUGCCUCGUCCAAGAUCCCGACGGCAUCUCCUUCCUACCUACAUCGGAGCCCCUCAACCGUCUCCCGCCCGGUCGUUUCUCCUUGCAGUUCUUACUCAGCAACGGAUUCACGCUACACGACUGCCGCCAUGGACUCGUACUUAUGUCCGACCAGAUGCGGCGCCAGUUCGUCGUGUGGGACCCCGUCACCGGCGACCAGCACCGCCUACCGAUUCCCCCGGGGUUCGAUCCGAGGACGACCCGAAUCAAUGGGGCGGUGCUUCGUGCUGCGGGGGACGUCAAACACUUCCAGCUGGUCUUUGUAGCAGCAUACAACCACGGGGUAGCAGCGGCGGCCGCCUGCCUUUACUCGUCGGAGACCGGCGUAUGGGGUAACAUCGUCUCAACACCAAUUCCAUUCGAGUCCGACCGAGGGUCCGCCUUAUAUCAGAUGUUUACUUUCGGAACAAUUUCUACGGAGCCCGCUGUGCUUGUUGGGGAUUCCAUUUACUGGAUUCUUGCCAAUUGUUCAUCAGGCAUCCUUGAGUUUAAUUUUGAGAUGCAGAGACUAGCUGCUAUACGGGUGCCACAUCUGUAUAGAGAUCACUUCAAGCUUAUAAAGGCGGAUAGUGGUGGGCUGGGUCUGCUCCACAUAUCAGACUUCACCAUGCAAGUGUGCAAUUACGAUGGUGUUGCUUCAUGGAGGCUGGGAAGAACUAUUGAACUGGACAAAUUACUUCCCCUGAAUCCAUACAAGGACAACAUAAUGUUAGGAGCGUUUGCCGAGGAAAAUAAUAUGGUGUUCCUGUGGACAUUGAACGGGCUCUAUGCGAUCCAUCUUCAGUCAUUGGAGGUGAAAAAGCUACCCGAAACCACCAACAUAUCUCACUACUAUCCCUUUGAAAGCGUCAAUACGACAGGGAGAGUCCUGCUAUGA
rnacentral:rRNA from 1 species